UACGUAGGGUGCAAGCGUUGUCCGGAAUUAUUGGGCGUAAAGGGCUCGUAGGCGGUCCAUCGCGUCGGGAGUGAAAAGCUGGGGCUUAACCCCAGUCCUGCUUUCGAUACGGGUGGACUAGAGGUAGGCAGGGGAGAACGGAAUUCCUGGUGUAGCGGUGAAAUGCGCAGAUAUCAGGAGGAACACCGGUGGCGAAGGCGGUUCUCUGGGCCGAUACUGACGCUGAGGAGCGAAAGCGUGGGGAGCGAACAGG
rnacentral:rRNA from 1 species